CUACGGGAGGCAGCAGUGGGGAAUAUUGCACAAUGGGCGCAAGCCUGAUGCAGCCAUGCCGCGUGUGUGAAGAAGGCCUUCGGGUUGUAAAGCACUUUCAGCGGGGAGGAAGGCGUUAAGGUUAAUAACCUUGUCGAUUGACGUUACCCGCAGAAGAAGCACCGGCUAACUCCGUGCCAGCAGCCGCGGUAAUACGGAGGGUGCAAGCGGUAAUCGGAAUUACUGGGCGUAAAGCGCACGCAGGCGGUCUGUCAAGUCGGAUGUGAAAUCCCCGGGCUCAACCUGGGAACUGCAUUCGAAACGGGCAGGCUAGAGUCGUGUAGAGGGGGGUAGAAUUCCAGGGGGAGCGGUGAAAUGCGUAGAGAUCUGGAGGAAUACCGGUGGCGAAGGCGGCCCCCUGGACAAAGACUGACGCGCAGGUGCGAAAGCGUGGGGAGCAAACAGGAUUAGAGACCCGAGUAGUC
rnacentral:rRNA from 1 species